rnacentral:tRNA from 1 species
GGUGGGGUGCCCGAGUGGUUAAAGGGGACGGGCUGUAAACCCGUUAGCAUUGCUUACGUUGGUUCGAAUCCAACCCCCACCACCA